rnacentral:rRNA from 1 species
AACGAACGCUGGCGGCAGGCCUAACACAUGCAAGUCGAGCGGCCCACCACCUGAUGUGGUGGGCAGAUAUCAGAGAUCGGAUGUCGGAUGUCGGAAGUCGGAUCGGAAGGCUUUGUGCUUUGCGGUUUUGACUUUUUGACAUCUGAUUUCCGACAUCCGACAUCUGCCCACCGCCUUUGGCGGUGGGCAGCGGCAGACGGGUGAGUAACGCGUGGGAACGGCCCUUCGGUCCGGAAUAACCCAGGGAAACUUGGCUAAUACCGGAUACGCCUUACGAGCGAUCGGAAGGGGAAAGAUUCAUUGCCGAAGGAUCGGCCCGCGUCGGAUUAGCUAGUUGGUGGGGUAAAAGCCUACCAAGGCGACGAUCCGUAGCUGGUCUGAGAGGAUGAUCAGCCACACUGGGACUGAGACACGGCCCAGACUCCUACGGGAGGCA